rnacentral:lncRNA from 1 species
ACGCCGGCGCGCCGGAGGGGAGGAAUGCGGCAGGCGGAAAACUUAGGAAGAGCUGGAUGCCUCCCACGGAGAGCGUCCCUUCCAAGCGGCCCCGGAGUGGAGUGGAGUGGAGUGGAUAGGGGUAGACUUUUCACACGGGGACAAAUUAUUACAGGAUAUCUGCGCCCCCUGUUCCGAGUCACUCGGGGCCAUCGGUUACUUCAGCAGGUUCUCUGCAUCACGGACCCUUUUGAGGCUCAGGAAUUUACCAUGGAAAUUAUUGGCCAUAAUUGUUGGUGACACUAUCAAACUCAUAGUCACUCUAUAACGAUGUAAGUCCAGAAAACAGCCAUAAUAAUAAUGUCCUGAUUGAUAUUUAGAGCUAAAAGAAGUGGAAAGAGUUAUUUCAAUUUACCCUUCACCUGGUACUUCAGUGUUAAGUGGUUAAAUAAUUCCACAAAAAAUAAACACUCUUAAUCUUCUUCAGUCUAUAUAAAUUCUUACUCUAUACUGUGAACCUAGGAAAGCUGUGGAUGGCCUCAAGAUCAGAUUGCCAGUUUAGCAAGUAAAAAACUACAAGGCUGGGCGCGGUGGCUCACACCUGUAAUCUCAGCACUUGGGAGGCCGAGGCGGGUGGAUCACGAGGUCAGGAGAUCGAGACCAUCCUGGCUAACACGGUGAAACCCCGUCUUUACUAAAAAUACAAAAAAUUAGCCCGUGGUGGCGGGCGCCUGUAGUCCCAGCUACUCGGGAGGCUGAGGCAGGAGAAUGGCGUGAACCCGGGAGGCGGAGCUUGCAGUGAGCCAGGAUCGCGCCACUGCACUCCAGCCUGGGCAACAGAGCGAGACUCCGUCUCAAAAAAAAGAAAAAAAAAAUUACAAGUGCCCAGUCACAUCUUAAUGUCAGAUAAACAACAAAUGGUUUUGAAAUGUAAGUAUGUUCUGUGCAAUAGUUUUGCUCAUGCCUUCGGAGCCACUCAAGUGUAUCAGUUCAUUCAGCAAAUCCUUCAUCACUUCUUAGACACUGGCGCUUUUGAAGAUCAGGAUCCCUGCCCCACAUAAAAGAAUAAUUAUUAUCUCUGCAAAUAUUGCAGGGGACAUAUUUAUACUAAAAACUUAUUUGUGACCAGCCUGGGCAACAUAGCAAGACCCCAUCUCUACAAAAAAAAAAUAGCCACAUGUGGUGGUGUGCACCUGUAGUCCUAGCUACUCAGGAGGCUGAGGCAGGAGGAUUACUUGAGCCCAGAAUGUUGAGUGAGCCAUGAUCAUGCCACUGCACUCCAGCCUGGGUGGCAGAAUGAGACCCUGUCUCAGAAAACAACAACAACAAAAAACUUUGUUGUUCAUCUGAAACUCACAUUUAACUGGACACCUGUAUUUUAUCCAGCAAUCCUACCUAAAGGGAUCCAUGAAUCCCCUAACAUUGAAUGCACAUGUUCUUGGACAUUUUGGCUAAAUCAGGACCCGUAUUAAGCUCCUGUAAACAGGUAAAGGUGUGUCAGACACACAUAUUGAUUGCUUUAUGGACCUUAGAUGCUGAGUGUAUUAGUCCGUUUACACACUGCUAAUAAAGACAUAGCUGAGACUGGGCAAUUUAUAAAAGAAAGAGGUUUAUUGGGUUUACAGUUCCACAUGGCUGAGGAGGCCUCACAAUCAUGGUGGAAGGCAAGGAGGAGCAAGUCACAUCUUAAUGUGGAUGGCAGCAGGCAAAAAGAGACAACCGAAAGGAGUUUCUCCUUAUAAAACCAUCAGAUCUCAUGAGACUACCACAAGAACAGCGUGGGAGAAACCACCCCCAUGAUUCAGUGAUCUCCCACUGGGUCCCUCCCACAACACGUGGGAAUUAUCAGAGUACAAUUCAAGAUGAGAUUUGGGUGGGGACACAGAGCAAAACCAUAUGACUGAGUUAGACAUUAAAAAAUGUAUAUAGUCACAAAGGGGACUCUGGAUGGAAGGGCCUCUUGAUCCCUUCUUCACUGCUUUCAGAUUGAAAGUUAUUCAGAUGUGUAUGAUGGACUAGGAGGUCGUGACCAAGAGCAGAUAAACUGCCAGAAAGGAUAAGUCCCCUGAGAAGGACUUAGUCCUGGCAGUAUUCAUCACCUUCUAACUGAAGAGCCCUUGGGCCCUAAAUGACCAGCAGAUAUACCCAGAUACUAUGUUGAGGACCUUGGGUGAACCUCUGAGACUUGCUGGCUUCAGAUGCCAGCAUGGCCACAGAGGGGUAGAGCACCAAGUGGGCCCUUGGGGUUCCUGAUUCCAGGACUUGACUCCUAAAUGGCAUUUCUGACCUGCCCUGGUCCAGAGUAGAGCCUUCUGCCCUGACGGUUGAGUCUCUGCCCAGACAGCAUUCACCACACACUGACUUGAGAGGCCGUGGGCCUUAAGGAAACAUCCGUGGAAGUCUGGCAGUACUCCCUGUGGCCUGUGGUGAUGGUGGUUACAGAGUGAGGCUAGUCUCCCUUUGGGAAGGAAAGGGAAGAGUAGGAAGGACUGUGUCUUACGGUUUGAGAGCCAGCUCAGCUGCAAUACAGUAUAACACCAGGUAGACUUCUGAGAUUUUUUACUCUAGUCUCUGACUCCUGGACUGUACAUCUGGACCUACCCAGGGCCUGGGGGAACUCGCCACCCUGAAGGGAAGGACACACGCCUGGAUGGCUUUGCCAUCUGCUAAUUGUAGAGCCCCAGGGCCUUGAGUGAACAUAAGCAGUAGCCAGGGAGUGGUUACAGCAGGUCUUGGGUGAGACCCAAUGCUAUGCUGGCUUCAUCUCUAACCCAGUCCAGUCAUAGUGGGGGUGGCCACAGAGGUACUUCUGUCACUCCACUCCCAGCUUUAUGUGGCUCAGAACAGAGAGAGAAAUUCCAUUUGUUUGGGAGAAAGUAAGGUAAGAGAACAAGAGUCUUUGCCUGGUAAUCCAGAGAAUUUCUCCCAGAUGCUGUCCUUGACCAUCAAGGUGGUACCCCUAAGAGUCUGCAAGAACUUCAGAGAACUACAGUGUUAUUGGGUUCGGGGUAAUCCCUCCCCCAGCUCCAGGCAGCUCAGCACAGAGAGAGAGACUGUUUGUGUUUAAAGAAUGUAAGGGAAGAGAACAAGAGUUUCUGCCUGGUAAUCCAGGGAAUUCCCUUGGAUCUUACCCAUGAACACCAAGGUGGUACCUCUACAAGUCAGCAAGAACCACAGCGUUACUAGGCUUGAGGUGCCCCCUAAAGCAGAUACAGCUUAGAUCACAGUAGUGAAGUCCUUUGAAAUACCUGGAAAGCCUUCCCAAGAAGGACAAGUACAAACAAGCCCAGACACUGGAGACUGAUAAUAUCCAACUCUUCAAUGCCCAGAGAGUGAAGAAUAUCUAUAGCAUCAGCACCAUCCAGGAAAACAUGACCUCACCAAAUGAACUAAAGAAACCACCAGAGACCAGUCCUAGAGAAACAGACAUAUGAGACCUUUCAGACAGAAUUCAAAAUAGCCAUGUUGAAGAAACUCAAAGAAAUUCAAGAUAAUGGAAAGAAGGAAUUCAGAAUUCUAUCAGAUAAACUUAACAAAUAAAUCGAAAUAAUUAAAAAGAAGCAGAAAUUCUGGAGCUGAAAAAUGUAAUUAGCAUACUGAAGAAAGCAUCAGAAUCUUUUUUUGUUUGUUUUUUUUUUUUUUGAGGUAAGGCCAUACUCUGUUACUGAGGCUGGAGUGCAGUGGCAGGAUAUCAGCUCACUACAGCCUCAGCCUCACAGGCUCAAGCAGUCUUCCUGCCUCAGUCCCCUGAGAAGCUGAGACUACAGGUGUGUACCACCAUGCUCGGCUUGUAUUUUUUGUAGAGAUAGAGUUUUGCUAUGUUGCCCAGGCUGGUCUUGAACUCCUGGGCUCAAGUGAUCUAUCUGCUUCAGCCUCUCAAAGUUCUGGGAUUACAGGUGUGAGCCACCACACCCAGCCUCGAGUCUUUUAGUAGCAGAAUUAUUCAAGCAGAAGAAAGAAUUAGUGAGCUUGAAGACAGGCUAUUUGAAAAUACAUGAUCAGGGAGACAAAAGAAAAAGGAAUAAAAAAUAAUGAAGCAUGCCUACAGGAUCUAGAAAAUAGCCUAAAAAGGGCAAAUCUAAGAGUUAUUGACCUUACAGAGGAGGUAGAAAAAGAGAUUGAUGUAGAAAGUUUAUUCAAAGGGAUAAUAACUGAGAACUCCUCAAACUUAGAGAAAGAUACCAAUAUCCAAGUCCAAGAAGGUUAUAGAACACCAAACAGAUUUAACCCGAAGAAGACUACCUCAAAGCAUUCAAUAAUCAAACUCCCAAAGAUCAAGGAUAAAUAAAGGUUUCCCUGACAAAAGCUGAGGAAUUUCAACACCAGACCUGUCCUUCAAGAAAUGCUAAAGGGAAUACUUCAAUGAGAAAGAAAAAGACAUUAAUGAGCAAUAAAUCAUCUGAAGGUACAAAAUCACUGGUAAUAGGACAUAAACAGAAAAAUAGAGAACAUUAUAACACUAUAACCAUGGUGUAGAAACUACUUAUUCUAAGUAGAAAGACUAAAUGAUGAACCAAUCAAAAAUAAUAACUGUGACAACUUUUCAAGACAUAGACUAUAUAAGAUAUAAAUAGAAAUAGCAAAAAGUUAAAAAACAGAGAUGAAGUUAAGACAUAGAGUUUUUGUUAGUUUUUUUUUUUUUGCUUGUUUGUUUAUGUAAAUAGUGUUAAAUUGUUAUCAGGUUAUAAUAAUGGGUCAUAAGAUAGUAUUUGCAAGCCUCAUGUUAGCCUAAAACCAAAAAACAUACAAUGGAUACACAAAAAAUAAAAGGCAGGAAACUAAAUAAUAUCAGAGAAAAUCACUUUCACUAGAGGAAAACACAGGAAGGAAACAAGACCACAGAACAAUUAGAAAACAAAUAAAAUGACAGGAAUAAGUUCUUUUUUUUUUUUUUUUGAGACAGAGUUUCGCUCUUGUUGUCCAGGCUGGAGUACAGUGGCACAGUCUCAGCUCACUGCAACCUUUGCCUCCUGAGUUCAAGCGAUUCUCCUGCCUCAGCCUCCUGAAUAGCUGGGAUUACAGCCAUGCGCCACCAAGCCCAGCUAAUUUUGUAUUUUUAGUAGAGACGGGGUUUCACCAUGUUGGCCAGGCCGGUCUCGAACUCCUGACCUCAUGAUCCACCCAUCUCAACCUCCCAAAGUGCUGGGAUUACAGGUGUGAGCCACCGCUUCUGGCAAGAAUAAGUUCUUAUCAAUGGUAAUAUCAAAUGUAGAUGGACUAAACUCUUCAAUAAAAAGACACAGAGUGGCCGAAUGGGUGAAAAAACAAGACCCAUUGAUAUGUUGCCUAUAAGAAACACACUACACCUAUAAAGACACACAUAAACUAAAAAUAAAGGGUUGGAAAAAGAUAUUCCAUGCCAAUGGAAACCAAAAAAAGAGCAGGAGUAGUCAAUGGGAUAUCAUCUCACUCCAGUUAAAAUGGCUUCUAUGCAAAAGACAGACAAUAACAAAUGUUGGCAAGGAUGUAGAGAAAAGGGAACCCUCAUACACUGUUGGUGGGAAUGUAAAUUAGUACAACCACUAUGGAGAAUGGUUUGGAGGUUCCUCAGAAAACUAGAACUAGAGCUACCAUGUGAUCCAGCAAUCCCAUUGCUGGGUAUAGACCCAAAAAAACGGAAAUCAGUAUUUCAAAGAGAUACCUGCACUCCAAUGUUUGUUGCAGCACUAUUCACAAUAGCUAAGAUUUAGAAGCAACCUAAGUGUUCAUCAACAAAUGAAUGGAUAAAGAAAAUGUGUUACAUAUACACAAUAGAGUACUAUUUAGCCUUAAAACAAACAAGAUCCAGGCCAGGCGCAGUGGCUCCCACCUGUAAUCCCAGCACUUUGGGAAGCCGAGGUGGGCGGAUCACAAGGUCAAGAGAUCAAGACCAUCCUGGCCAACAUGGUGAAACCCUGUCUCUACUAAAAAUACAAAAAUUAGCUGGGCAUGGUGGUGCACGCCUCUAGUCCCAGCUAUUUGGGAGGCUGAGGCAGGAGAAUCACUUGAACGUGGGAGGCAGCGGUUGCAGUGAGCUGAGAUUGCGCCACUGCGCUCCAGCCUGGUGACAGAGCAAGACUCCAUCUCAAAAAAAAAAAAAAAGAUCCUGUCAUUUUCAGCAACAUGGAUGGAACAGGAAAUCAUUAGUGUUAACUGAAAUAAGCCAGGCACAGAAGUACAAACAUUACAUGUUCUCACUUAUUUGUCGGAUCUAAAAAUCAAAACAAUUGAACUCAUGGUCACAGAGUGUAGAAGGAUAGUUACCAGAGGCUGGGAAGGGUAGUCGGGGGUUGGGAAGGAGAUGGGGAUGGUUAAAGGCUACCAAAAACUAGAAAGAAUGAAUAAAGCCUACUAUUUGAUAGCACAACAGGGUGACUGUAGUUAAUAAUAACAAUUGUACGUUUUUAAAUAACCAGAAGAUCGUAAUUGGAUUGUUUGUAACACAAAGGAUAAAUGCUUGAGGAGAUGAAUACCCCAUUCUCCAUGAUGUGAUUGUUUCACACUGCAUGCCUGUAUCAAAACAUCUCAUGUAUCCCAUAAAAAUAUAUAUACUAUGUACCCACAAAAAUUAAAAAUUUAAAUCUUUUUUUGGGCCAGGUGCAGUGGCUUAUGCCUGUAAUCCUAGCUACUUGGGAGGCUGAGACAGGAGAAUUGCUUGAACCUGGGAGGCAGAGGUUGCAGUGAGCCAAGAUGGUGCCACUGCCAUCCAGCCUGGGAGACUCCAGAGUGAGACUCCGUCUAAAAUGUAGAUAUAUUUCCACAUCAAGGGAUGCUUAUUUAAAAUGGGAGAAUGAUAGGGAAGCAAUUCUAAAGAAUAACCCUCAUUUAUAGCCUCUAGUCCCAAAACAGUCUCACACUACAUGUCAGUUUUCUUUCUAAGUCAUCAAUCAGAUCAGAUCAGAGUACUCUCCUGCCCUAAAGCUCGCAGAUAUUCUGAAGAAGUGCCCAGACAAGAUUAUUACUGGGUGAAGUGGGGAAUAAGUGAAAGGGUAUCACCAGAGACAGGUUAACUUUGAAGGGAAAGCAGUAAUUUUGGAUAUAAUAGCCAAAGAGGGCAUUGGUUAAAAGGUGACGUAUAAACCAAACGUGAACCAAGUGCCCAGAGCGUUGGAACUCAUAGCCCUACCCUCCACUUCCAGGGAGAGAAGAGGGACUAAAGGCCACCAAUGGCCAAUGACUUAAUGAGUCGUGACUGUGUAAUGAGGCCUCUAUAAAAACCAGAAGGAUCGAGUGCAGGGGGCUUCCAAGAAGUUGAAGAAAAAUACAUCUACGUGUCUAAAAGGCAGUUCACCCCAACUUCAUGAGGAUGGAAGUUUUUACACUUGGGACCCUUCUGGACCUCCUCACCCUAUGUAUCUCUUAAUCUGGCUGUUCAUUUUGUCAACCUAAAAUAGUUAAGAGGGUGAGAAUCUAGUUUAUUUAUGUAUUUAUUGAGACAGGGUCUUGCUGUAUUGUCCAGGCUGGAGUGCUCAAGUAAUCCUCCCACUUUGACCUCCCAAAGCACUGGCAUUACAGGUGUGACCCACCUCACCCAGCCAGAGUCUGGUUUAAAGAGAGUUUAUUCAAGCAUAGAGUUUAAGGACAGCCUCCUGGGAAACACAGAUUCCAAAGGAUGGAAGUCAGUGUUUUGUGAAUGUGAAGUUUGGAUUGUUUAUAUAGACAGAUUGGGGAAGCUUAACAGAAUUUCAACAUCUGUCUCUCCAGGGUCUUAUUUUUUGUGUAGGCUGUAGUCCAGUGGUACAAUCAUAGCUCACUGCAGCUUCUAACUGCCGGGCUCAAGGGAUCUUCCUACCUCAGCCUCCUGAGUAUCUGGGAUUACAGGUGCCAACCACUACAUCCAGCUCUAUAUAAGGCUUAAUGCAUAGUUACAACAAUCUGAUUAGUCAGGUGGUCUUUUUCUUUCAGGAAAGGUGUAUUUAAUACUACACACUGAAGAUGUAGCAGUCGUGGGGUCUUUUGCACCCUCUGUUCUGAGUUAGGUACACAACAAUAAAGGAGGCAGUUAAUCUAUAACAAAGAUGAGUGAUUGGAAGGGGAGGGGCUGUAGUUUCCCUUAGUCAUUUAUAAAACAAGAACAAUGAGGAAGAGAAUUAAUCUAUAAUCUAAGAAGCAGAACUUGCGAACUUGCCAUGUGACUCGGUCUCCAGGACUUAACUUCUUACGUGGCAUAAUAAAUUUAGAGGGUCCUGUUUUUAUUUUCUUUUACAAUAUGUACCCUUUAAAAUAUCCUGGCCCGGCACGGUGACUCAUGCCUGUAAUCCUAGCACUUUGGGAGGCUAAGGCAGGUGGACAACUUGAGGUCAGGAGUUUGAGAUCAGCCUGACCAACAUGGUGAAACCCCAUCUCUACUAAAAAAAAAUACAAAAAUUAGCUGGGCAUGGUGGCAGGCACCUGUAAUCCCAGCUACUCGGGAGGCUAAGGUAGGAGAAUCGCUUAAACCAGGGAGUUGGAAGUUGCAGUGAACCAAGAUCGCGCCACUGCACUCCAGCCUGGGCAACAAGAGUGAGACUUUGUCUCAAUUAAAAAAAAAAAUCCUUUAUAAUAAACUGGUAAAUGUAAGUAAGCAUUCCCCUGAGCUGUGAGCCACUCUAGCAAAUUAAUCAAACCCAAGAAGAGCGACAUGAAAACCCUGAUUUAUAGCCAGUCCGUCAGAAGCACAGGUAAAACAUCCUGGGGCUUGCAAUUGGCAUUUGUUGGCAUCAAAAGUUGGGGGCAGUCUUGUGGGACUGAGCCUUCAACCUGUGGGAUCUAAUGCUUUCUCCAAGUAGAUACUGUCUGAAUUGAACUGGAGGAUACCCAGCUGGUGUCUGCUGCAGAAUUGAUUGAUUGCUUGAUGUGUAGGGGGAAAAAAUCCACAUAUGCUGGUGUUGCAAGCAUGUUAUGAGGGUACAGUAGGAAAAACUAAGUUUGUUUUUCUGCUCAUACAUACCCUGACAAAGCCCAAGCCUCGUGGAAGGCUACAUGUAAACACUCUGGUCAGCAGCUCCAGAGCACAGCCCUUGAGUCAUCCCAGCCCAGCUACCAGAUGUUUAAGUGAAGAACCUGUAGACGAUUCCAACUGUAAGACAUUUGAGUCACCCUUUAUUUUGUCCCACUGAACCUAUAGCUUGGGUCACCCCAAAAGUGGAGGCAAGAAUGUUCCCACAAAGUGCUCCAAACCAUCUCAAGAUGGGGCUGAUUGGGAUUCACAAGAAAGAAGCACAAAAUGCCAGGGUGAUCAGUCCAAAGCAAUUAUUAGUGGAACUUAGAUGCAGAGUGCUGCCUCAUAUCCUCAUGACAGAGGGCAAGAGAAAAAGAAUGUUCUACCCGGGUAUGUCUGCAGCAAAGGGGUCAAAGCAUAGAGUUUACAUGAGGGUUUUAGGAAUUUGACUCAGUGCUGGGGCUGGUUUCUUUCUAGUAAACCUAAUUACCUUUAUCAGGGCCUGGGGACAUUCAAGGCCACAGUUUGAAUUCAAGCUUGCUGGGAAAAACAUACAGCUGGCAGAAUCACAGAGUGGUCAAGACACUCUGAUUUUUGGUCAGGACACAGAAAGUGGGGGAAACUGGGAGACCCUAUACCUUCAGUCUUCCUAGAUGAGGGCCCAGCAUCAUGGAGCUGAAACAAGCAUCCCUGCUGUGCUCUGUUUGAAUUCCUUACUCACAAAAGCAUAAUAAAAUGGUAGUUCAUUUAUAUCACAAAUGUUGGGGGUGGUUUGUUAUGCCAAAAUAGAUAACUGGAACACCCCAUCCCAAUCCUCUAAAGUUCCCAGGAACUCAUUGUCUUAGACUCCAUAAUUUUCAGGGAUACAUAUCACUAAGCAUGCGGAUACAUUCAUGAAAAUGAAAAUUCAGGCCGGGUGCAGUGGCUUACGCCUGUAGUCCCAGCACUUUGGGAGGCUGAGGCGGGUGGAUCAUUCAAGGUCAGGAGUUCAAGACCAGCUUGGCCAACAUGGUGAGACCCUGUCUCUACUAAAAAUAUAAAAAUCAGCCGGUCAUGGUGGCGCAUGCCUGUAAUCCCAGCUACUUGGGAGGCCGAGGGGCGAGAAUCACUUGAACCUGGGAGGCAGAGGUUGCAAUGAGUCGAGAUCGCACCGCUACACUCCAGCCUGGGUAACAAAAUGAGACCCCAUCUCAAAAAGAAAAGAAAAGAAAAUGAUAGGAUUCGUAGCCUAUACUAGACAACUUUCAUAGUUUACAGACUAUGACUCUGCUACACUUUAAAGAGUGAACUAGGCCAGGCACAGUGGCUCAUGCUUGUAAUCCCAGCACUUUGGGAGGCCGAGGCAGGCGGAUCAUGAGGUCAGGAGAUAGAGAACAUCCUGGCUAACACAGUGAAACCCCAUCUCUACUAAAAAAAUACAAAAAAAUUAGCCGGGCGUGGUGGCGGGCGCCUGUAGUCCCAGCUACUUGGGAGGCUGAGGCGGGAGAAUGGCAUGAACUCGGGAGGCGGAGCUUGCAGUGAGCCAAGUUCGUGCCACUGCACUCUAGCCUGGGUGACAGAGCGAGACUCCAGCUCAAAAAAAAAAGUGAACUGCCUAGUCACAGAGUUUCAAAAUGGAGACAACGAUUUUUGUCCUAAAUCUGAAGUCUUCUUCGGAGCCCUCCAAGUCUAAAGUGCAUGUAUUCGUUGCCUAUCAAAUAAAUAGGGUCUUGUCAUGGCACACCUAUGGCACCACACAUCAUAUAAGCUAAAUGACUAGGUCAUUUUGUAAUGACCCAUGUAACUUGAAACUACCAAAAAUCAAAGCAAGUCUUUGUCAACAAGUUCUGGUCAUCCGAGAAAACAAUGCAGAUAAGAAAUCCAGCCUAAUUAUUUUUUGUUUGCUUGUCUUGAGACAAGGUCUUGCUCUGUUGCCCAGACUGAAGUGUAGUGGCGCCAUCACAGCUCACUGCAAACUUGACCUCCUGGGCUCAAGUGAUCCUCCCACCUCAGCCUCCUGAGUAGCUGGAACUACAGGCACACGACACUAGCCCAGCUAAAUAUAUAUAUUUGUAGGCACAGGAUUUUGUCAUGUUUCCCAGAUUGAUCUCAAACUCCUGGUCUCAAGCAAUCUGCCAGCCUCCAGAAGUCUUGGGAUUACUGGUGUCAAACACCACACCUGGCCUAAAUCCAGCCUAAUUCUCAUCAUCCCUCAUCACCCAUAUCUGCAGAAAACUAAAGAGUUUUCUGAACAUGUUCAUAGUUACCAUCCAUCUUGUCCUGGCCCCUUUAAAUUCACCCUGCUUGUUAGACAUAGAUCCUAUGGCCAAAAUUAAUCCAAACUGCUACCUGCUAGGCUGUUCCCUUGUUCUUCAUCUUUACUGUCUCCACUAACAAAAACACCUCCCUGCUGGGUGUGGUGGCUGACAUCUGUAAUCCCAGCAUUUUGGGAGGCUGAGGCAGGAGGAUCACUUGAGCCCAAGAGUUAGAGACCAGCCUGGGCAACAUAGCAAGACACAAUCUCUACAAAAAAUUUUUGUAAAACAUUACGCAAAUGUGGUGGGGCGCAUCCGGCUACUUCGCUGAGGCUGAUGCAGGAGGAUUGCUUGAGCCCGGGAGAUCAGCGCUGCAGCGAGCAGGGUUCACACCACUGCAUUCCAGCCUGGGCGACUGAGCGAGAACCUGUCUCAAAAAAAUCCUAUCCCUGCUGGGCGCGGUGGCUUAUGCCUGUAAUCCCAGCACUUUGGGAGGCCGAGGCAGGCGGAUCACAAGGUCAGGAGUUCGAGACCAGCCUGACCAACACGGUGAAACCUCAUGUCUACUAAAAAUACAAAAUUAGUUGGGUGUGGUGGUGUAUGCCUGUAAUCCCAGCUACUCGGGAGGCUGAGGCAGGAGAAUCGCUUGAACCCUGGAGGUGGCAGAGGUUGCAAUUAGCUGAGAUCGUGCCACUGCACUCCAGCCUGGGUGACACAGCAAGACUCUGUCUCAAAAAAAAAAAAAAUCCUAUCCCUGCCAGCUGCCGUGGCACACACCUGAAAUUGCACCACUUUGGGAGGCAGAGGAGAGGGCUAUUACUAGAGCUCCAGAGUUCGAGACCAGCCUGGGCAACAUGGUGAAACCCCGUCUACAAAAAAAUACAAAAAUGUACUGGGUGUGGUGGUGUACUUGUAGUCUCAGCUACUUGGGAGGCUGACGUGGGAGGAUCACCUGAGCCUGGGAGUUCAAAGCUACAGCGAGCUGUGAUUGCACCACUACACUGCAGCCUGGGUGAUGGAACAAGACCUCCCAAAAAAAAAAAAAAAAAAAAAAAACAGGCCGGUCACGGUGACUCACGCAUGUAAUCCCAGCACUUUGGGAGUCCAAGGAGGGUGGAUCACUUGAGGCCAGCACGAGACCAGCCUGGCCAACAUGGCAAAACCCCGACUCUACUAAAAAUACAAAAAUUAGCCGGGUAUGGUUGUGCACCCCUGUAAUCCCAGCUGCUUGGGAGGCUGAGACAGGAGAAUCGCUUGAACUCGGGAGUCUGAGGUUGCAGUGAACUGAGAUCGUGCCAUUGCACUCCAGCCUAGGCGACAGAACAAGACUCUAUCUCACAACAAACAAACAAAAAAAACCAUCAUCCCUAUUUUGCUCUAAGAAGCAAAACAAGGUAUAGCCUGUGAUUAGGCCAGUCCUUAUUUUGAAGAAGCCCACCUGAGGCUGAAGCAGGAGGAUUGCUUGAGCCUGGGAGGUAAGAUUGUGCACACACAAUCUGCCUACUUGACAAUCUGAAGUAGAAACCCAGCAUAGAAGGACUGAGUAGUUCUGGAUUUGUGCUGCCAAGGCUGGUUUAAUAUAUGGAAUAAAGGCUUAAGGAUCAUAUAUGGAAAGACAGAUAUGUAACCAAUGAUAAUUCAUUGUGAAAAGUCUGUGGUAGAGUUUGCACAGAAUCUUAUGGGAGCACAGAGGAGGAGAUAAUGACUUGUUUUGGGUUGUAAUAAUGCUGUAACAGUUCCAAUAUAGGUCAAUGCUCAAGUAUUUUUAGUUGCAAUGAAACUCAUAGGAAAAUAACAAUGGAACAGAUUUACUUGGGCAAUUAUAAGUGCGUUCAUUUUCUUUCUUUUUUUUUAACGUGGGUUCGUUUUCACCUUGACAUUGCACCUAGUAAAAUUUUCUGGAAUCUUUUCUAAUUAUCAGAAUGUAUAAAAUACAUAGAAGUUUGUGAAUCAAAGUUGUGGUUCUUGGCUGGCUGUGGCAGCUCACACCUGUAAUCUCAACGCUUUGGGAGGCUGAGGUGGCUGGAUUGCUCAAGCUCAGGAGUUUGAGACCAGCCUGGGCAACAUGGUGAAACCCUGUCUCUAUGAAAAAUUUUUUAAACAUUAGCCAGGCAUGGUGGCAUGCACCUGUGGUCCCAGCUUGUUCAGGAGGCUGAGGGGAGAAUCCCUUGAACCUGGGAGGCAGAGGUUGCUGUGAGCCAAGAUCACGCCACUGCACUUCAGCCUGGGUGACACAGUGAGUCCUUGUCUCCAAAAAAAAAAAAAAAAAAAAUUGUAGUUCUUUAUUUGUAAUGGUGAAAGGUUAUGACUUUUUCAAUGAGAUAGAAAAUAGCAAAGAUCAUGGAUCAGGAAAAAAAUUUAAAAGGAGUUCAAAAUGCACCUGGCCAACAUAGUGAUACCCUAUCUCUACAAAAGAAAAAUAAAAUUAGCUAGGCAUGGUAGUGUACAGCUGUAGUUCCAGCUACUUGGAAGGCUGAGGCAGGAGGAUUGCUUGGGCCCAGGAGUUCAAGGCUGCAGUGAGCCAUAAUUGUGCCACCGCACUCCAGCCUGGGUAGCAGAGUGAGACCCUGUCUUAAAAAAAACAAAAAGGAAAGAAAAAAGAAAGAAAAGAAAAAAUAGGCACAAGGAAAGCUAUAGGCAAUAUAAUAUAUAAUAAUGAUAACUCUUGAGCCAUCUGAUAGAACUACCAUUAUCCUAAGUGAUCCCAUAUACCGCCAACCUCCCACCAAACAUUUUAUUUAAAAUGUGCAAAUGACACAUUUUUAACUUAGAAUGCAACAUAUAUGGUGAGGCCAUCUACUGAGCUUAACAAAUACUGAGGAAUUUGUGUCCAACUUUUUAUUUAUUAAGGUUGAUGUAUCUAUAAGAUGUUCAGGUAGCUAUAGUCCCAGCUACUCUGGAAGCUGGGCAGAGGUAGGAGGAUUUCUUGAGCUGAGUUGUUUUGAUCCAGCCUGGGAAACAUAGCAAGACCCCAUAUCUUAAAAUAAAUAAAUAAAUAAAUAUAUACACACACACAUACAUAUAUAUUAUAUAUGAUACAUUAUAUAUAUGUAUUAUACAUCAUCAUAUAUGUGU